GUCGAGUAGUUUGGGAAUGCUGCUCAAAAUGGGAGGUAAACCCCUUCUAAAGCUAAAUACUGGCCAGAGACCGAUAGCGCACAAGUAGAGUGAUCGAAAGAUGAAAAGCACUUUGAAAAGAGAGUUAAACAGCACGUGAAAUUGUUGAAAGGGAAGCGCUUGCGACCAGACUUGUGCUCGUCGAAUCAGCCGUCGCUCGUCGGCGGCGCAUUUCGGGCGGGCUCAGGCCAGCAUCAGUUCGCUGU
rnacentral:rRNA from 1 species